GACGAACGCUGGCGGCGUGCCUAAUACAUGCAGGUUGAGCGCUGAAGGUUGGUACUUGUACCAACUGGAUGAGCAGCGAACGGGUGAGUAACGCGUGGGGAAUCUGCCUUUGAGCGGGGGACAACAUUUGGAAACGAAUGCUAAUACCGCAUAAAAACUUUAAACACAAGUUUUAAGUUUGAAAGAUGCAAUUGCAUCACUCAAAGAUGAUCCCGCGUUGUAUUAGCUAGUUGGUGAGGUAAAGGCUCACCAAGGCGAUGAUACAUAGCCGACCUGAGAGGGGGAGCGGCCACAUUGGGACUGAGACACGGCCCAAACGCCUACGGGAGGCAGCAGUAGGGAAACUUCGGCAAUGGACGAAAGUCUGACCGAGCAACGCCGCGUGAGUGAAGAAGGUUUUCGGAUCGUAAAACUCUGUUGGUAGAGAAGAACGUUGGUGAGAGUGGAAAGCUCAUCAAGUGACGGUAACUACCCAGAAAGGGACGGCUAACUACGUG
rnacentral:rRNA from 1 species